rnacentral:rRNA from 1 species
CAGCAGCCACGGGAAAACGAAGGGUGCAAGCGUUAAUCGGAAUUACUGGGCGUAAAGCGCGCGUAGGUGGUUCAUUAAGUUGGAUGUGAAAGCCCUGGGCUCAACCUGGGAACUGCAUCCAAAACUGGUGAGCUAGAGUACGGUAGAGGGUAGUGGAAUUUCCUGUGUAGCGGUGAAAUGCGUAGAUAUAGGAAGGAACACCAGUGGCGAAGGCGACUACCUGGACUGAUACUGACACUGAGGUGCGAAAGCGUGGGGAGCAAACAGGAUUAGAUACCCGCGUAGUCCCUGUCUCUUAUAA